GACGAACGCUGGCGGCGUGCCUAAUACAUGCAAGUAGAACGCUGAAGGAGGAGCUUGCUUCUCUGGAUGAGUUGCGAACGGGUGAGUAACGCGUAGGUAACCUGCCUGGUAGCGGGGGAUAACUAUUGGAAACGAUAGCUAAUACCGCAUAAGAGUAGAUGUCGCAUGACAUUUGCUUAAAAGGUGCAAUUGCAUCACUACCAGGUGGACCUGCGUUGUAUUAGCUAGUUGGUGAGGUAACGGCUCACCAAGGCAACGAUACAUAGCCGACCUGAGAGGGUGAUCGGCCACACUGGGACUGAGACACGGCCCAGACUCCUACGGGAGGCAGCAGUAGGGAAUCUUCGGCAAUGGACGGAAGUCUGACCGAGCAACGCCGCGUGAGUGAAGAAGGUUGUCGGAUCGUAAAGCUCUGUUGUAAGAGAAGAACGAGUGUGAGAGUGGAAAGUUCACACUGUGACGGUAUCUUACCAGAAAGGGACGGCUAACUACGUG
rnacentral:rRNA from 1 species